rnacentral:rRNA from 1 species
GAUGAACGCUGGCGGCGUGCCUAAUACAUGCAAGUCGAGCGAACGGACGAGAAGCUUGCUUCUCUGAUGUUAGCGGCGGACGGGUGAGUAACACGUGGAUAACCUACCUAUAAGACUGGGAUAACUUCGGGAAACCGGAGCUAAUACCGGAUAAUAUUUUGAACCGCAUGGUUCAAAAGUUAAAGACGGUCUUGCUGUCACUUAUAGAUGGAUCCGCGCUGCAUUAGCUAGUUGGUAAGGUAACGGCUUACCAAGGCAACGAUGCAUAGCCGACCUGAGAGGAUGAUCGGCCACACUGGAACUGAGACACGGUCCAGACUCCUACGGGAGGCAGCAGUAGGGAAUCUUCCGCAAUGGGCGAAAGCCUGACGGAGCAACGCCGCGUGAGUGAUGAAGGUCUUCGGAUCGUAAAACUCUGUUAUUAGGGAAGAACAUAUGUGUAAGUAACUGUGCACAUCUUGACGGUACCUAAUCAGAAAGCCACGGCUAACUACGUG